UUUUGUAGCUUUAAGGGACCGGUCAUUAUUUAUGGUGGGGGGUGGCACCGAAGAGAAAUGUUUUUCGUGGCAAAAAUUUUGCUGACCCAACCAUUAAAAAGUCAAAAAUUUGAUUACCCAACCUCAAAUAUCAAGUAAAAAAUAAAUACCCACCCCUGGCUAAAAUUAAACUUUACAAAAGGUUACCAUUCAGUUGUCACAUAUGUCCUUUACCCGAUUUCUGUGACAGGAGUUAGAUAACUGCUUGUGAAAUUUGCUGUAGUCUAAUGUAUCAUGUUGUCUGCACAUGUGCUUUCUUUGGAAACACAUUUGUCUUCUAACAAAUUGGAAAAUGAUCAAGACAGUGACUGAUUGAUUCACUUAUUGUAUUGACA